UGGGGAAUCUUCCGCAAUGGACGAAAGUCUGACGGAGCAACGCCGCGUGAGUGAUGACGGCCUUCGGGUUGUAAAGCUCUGUUAAUCGGGACGAAAGGUCCUCUUGCGAAUAGUUAGAGGAAUUGACGGUACCGGAAUAGAAAGCCACGGCUAACUACGUGCCAGCAGCCGCGGUAAUACGUAGGUGGCAAGCGUUGUCCGGAAUUAUUGGGCGUAAAGCGCGCGCAGGCGGAUCAGUUAGUCUGUCUUAAAAGUUCGGGGCUUAACCCCGUGAUGGGAUGGAAACUGCUGAUCUAGAGUAUCGGAGAGGAAAGUGGAAUUCCUAGUGUAGCGGUGAAAUGCGUAGAUAUUAGGAAGAACACCAGUGGCGAAGGCGACUUUCUGGACGAAAACUGACGCUGAGGCGCGAAAGCCAGGGGAGCGAACGGGAUUAGAUACCCCGGUAGUCCUGGCCGUAAACGAUGGGUACUAGGUGUAGGAGGUAUCGACCCCUUCUGUGCCGGAGUUAACGCAAUAAGUACCCCGCCUGGGGAGUACGACCGCAAGGUUG
rnacentral:rRNA from 1 species